AUAGUUAGUAUUAGAGUUAGGAAAGAUUGGAGUAAGGAUUGCAUUUAAACCUAGAUUAACUUUAGUAUGGAAAUUGACCAAAACCAGAAGACAAAAAUUCAUCCUUAAAGUAUUAUUUAAAUGAACUAAACGAAUUAUUAUGAUCAUUAUUAUAUAGCCACAUUAAUUUUGUCCUAUUUAAUACCAACACUAUUCUAAAGGUAAUCGUACAUUCAUCCCAAAAUUAUAAUUCGAAUCAACCAAAUGACUUAUUAUAGUCACCAUAAUUAUGUCCUAUUUCACCAAUACUAUUCCUUUAAGAAAUUAAUCUUAAUAUUUUCAUGUUCCGUUUACAGUAAAAAGGUUAAAGCCGUUACGAUGCUGGCCAAACAAAAUUGCAUCAAGCUUCUGGAUUUGAACUCCGGAGAAGCCGAUGUUAUCCUUUCGCUUUCAGGAGGCACAUCGUAGUCCUGCCAGCAUUCGACGCACACGAUGAAUAACAUGAGGAUCAAACCCAGGAACCACAAACUCCGUCCCAUUCUUCCGCUCAGCAUCUUGAGGUGCUUGAGAUGUGAUGGAUGCAAAAAGCUAUCAAAGAAUAAAAUUAACUUGGUAUGCAAAUUACCAUUUCAAUGUUCAUUUUCACUUUUGAGAAA